GCGAGAGAGAGAGAGAGAUUGAGAAAUGCGGAGUGAGGCAAAGGUGGGAACAACAAGAAGGUCCUUUUAAUGUGGAUUUGAGAGAGAGGGAGAUAGAGACAAGGUGGUUACAGGUAGCUAGGAGUGAUAUUGGUUAAGAUGUGUAACAAAGAUCUUUUGGAGGGAGCUUCGAAUUCGUUGCUUCGCGUCCACUUCACUAGAAUUCCACUUGUGAAGGCGGUGGUGGGUGGUGGACGGAUGGAUGGAUUGGUUUCUCUGGUUCAAAUGUGUCUGAACAUAUGCCACGGCCCAUUGUUUAUUAGGCAAAAGAGAGGGACUCUUCACCAAUACCCAACGAAUCCAAG
rnacentral:misc_RNA from 1 species